GAUGAACGCUAGCGGCAGGCUUAACACAUGCAAGUCGAGGGGUAGAGGAAGCUUGCUUCCUUGAGACCGGCGCACGGGUGCGUAACGCGUAUACAAUCUACCUUUUACAGAGGGAUAGCCCAGAGAAAUUUGGAUUAAUACCUCAUAGUAUUUUCGGAUCGCAUGAUUUGAUUAUUAAAGUUCCAACGGUAAAGAUGAGUAUGCGUCCCAUUAGCUAGAUGGUAAGGUAACGGCUUACCAUGGCAAUGAUGGGUAGGGGUCCUGAGAGGGAGAUCCCCACACUGGUACUGAGACACGGACCAGACUCCUACGGGAGGGCAGCAGUGAGGAAU
rnacentral:rRNA from 1 species